GCAAUGGGGGAAACCCUGACGGAGCGACACCGCGUGAAGGAUGACGCGCUUUUCGCGUGUAAACUUCUGUUCUGAGGGACGAAACUUUUGACGGUACCUCAGGAGAAAGCACCGGCUAAUUCCGUGCCAGCAGCCGCGGUAAGACGGAAGGUGCAAGCGUUACUCGGAAUCACUGGGCGUAAAGCGUCCGCAGGCUUCUUUAUUAGUCUGGUGUAAAAGCACGGAGCCCAACCCGUGUACGUGCCGGAAACUGUAAAGAAUAGAGUCACUCAGAGGCAUCUGGAAUGCCGUGU
rnacentral:rRNA from 1 species